GCUCUGCUUUUCCUUUCAGCAUGUGAGCUGAGCGGUAACAGAGCCGCGUGUUAGCUUCAGCUCGGGUGUCGUGGGCACUUUUUGAACUGCUGAAGGCGAUGCCAGUCAGUGAUUUGCCCUGGCGUGCUGUGGUGAACAGAGGGCAUCAUGGGCACUUGAAUUGCUGCAGGUGUGUAGUGUUUCUCCUGUGAUGUUUACCUGAAAUCUGUCGUGACUGGACAGCGGGGUUGUAAAUCAAAAAUAUUCGUUUUUAUUGUGCCAUGUACAGAGAGAUCAUGAUUUAAAAUCAGAAAUGAAAAUGCUGCUAAUAAGUCACUCCAUAGUGACUUGUUGCUUUGAAUUUAUUGUGAUCUAAAGCAUCGUGGUUGGAGGAAUGUCUUGUAUUUUGGAUCCCAGGUGAGUUUUAUAACAUGUGCAUGAGCUUUUCAGUUGUAUUUCAUUUAAAUGAGAAAUGAACACUGGUGUCUAUUAAACUUGUAUUAUUGUGCACACA